UUUCCAUGGUUCUAUCUAUUCCUGCCGCUGUGUUAAAUCACUGGACUUUUCUUUUAACGUUGCUCGCAUGUUGUAUUUUACCUGUUGUCAGUCAUUUGUCUGUCUGUCUUUUUACAGCCUGUAAUUACCUCCCUGUCCUCUGUGUUUACUGCCGUCAGCCAUCACUCCCACACACACCUUGUUCACCUGUCUCCCAUCUCCUCAUCAGCCCAACAUUUACACCGACCACUCCCCCACCCCCGCCCAAACCUCUCCACCUGAUUGUCUGCGGUGUGUUGAGGCCCUGAAGUAAAACUAUGAACAUUUUCAGAAACUUGUUUUUGGAAACAACGAUGCAGAAACUCACAGCUGCUUCUUGAUUGGUCUCAACAAACCUGAAAAAAGAAGGAAGGGUCAUCACAUCACUGAAUGAAAGAUGAAGAAAUAGCUCCAGAGAAUGAAAGUACACACACACUUCAGAGAGGAGGUUAAACACUGAUGUUUUCAUUGACCACGGGCGAGAGUUGAGUUGAAGAGGAGGGAUGUUGAAAUAUGGAGCAAUAAUUCUCUUGUCUUGUGUUGAAUGUGUGCAUAUCAGUAAACCUCCCAAUAAACAUAUGAUUGAAAAAAAGUUGAAGUAUGCAGCACAAACAACCCUCUUCACAAGAACAAAGCUGAGAUUACAGAAGAUUAAAUGAUAAAGCCGUUUACUUUGACUCUUCUUUGCUUCACAGUUUGUUACCUUGAACUCUUCCGAGCGGAUGUCAAAACAGAAAAAAAGUCUUGAGUGGCUACGAGGAGAAGCGUCAAGGUCUUGUAAUAAGUUGGGUUUCACUUAAAAAAAAAAAAUGCCAUCAGCUGUGGACACCUGUGUUUGUGUCACAUGAAUACAGAUCAGUCUCCUCCCUGAUGGACACCAACCUUCUGCACCUCU